UCACCUUUUGGGCCAACACAGAAAUAAGAGAUGCAGCAUGAAAUGUAUGUGUGGAAGUCUCUUGUGCAUAGGAAGCCUUUUGUGAUAUGGAAGACGAAUCCAUAAAAGACUCUAAUUUUUGACUCUAUAAAAAGAGAAGUUCGUGGAUGUGAGAACGUGAACACAAAAAGAGAGAAGGAUGUGAGUCACAAAAGGAGACAGGGAGAGAG
rnacentral:lncRNA from 1 species